rnacentral:lncRNA from 1 species
CCAUAGAGGGGAAUUUGGUAAUAUCUAGCAAACCUGAGAAUGCAUUUACCUUUUGAGCAAGAAAUCCUGCUUCUAGGAAUCUCCCAAAGCUAUACUGGUAAAAAUACAACCAUUUUGGUUUUCCUUCUAAGAGCACAACAGAUCACUGGCCUAAUGAACAAUUAGAGGUAAGAACUAUGUUCAGCUGAACUGAGGGAGUGUUUCAUGUGUAGAUUAUUAACACAGACAAUAAUAUGCCUGUCAGUGCCAUUUUUGUUUAAUAUGCCAGUAAAUACUAAGGGAAUUUUAUAACCAUAUAUGCAAUAUUUCAAAGCACACGAAAUCCCUAUGAAAGUUUUAGUGACGCAUAGUUAUUUCCAGACGUGUUGCCACUAGGCUAGAAGAUCAAGCCAUGCCUUGAAUUUAUAAUAUGAAAAAGGCCACAGAAGCUGUAUGUAAAACAUACUUUCAUGAAAACCUAUUAAAACUAUAUUUUAGUUUUGUUAAAUACAUCUCCAUGUUCUUGGAUUAUGGCAGUGAUUGUAACCUAGAAAACGACGUCUGAAACCAUGCUACACUUCUAAGUCACUUUUCUGACCCAAUCA